rnacentral:rRNA from 1 species
UACGGGGGGAGCAAGCGUUGUUCGGAUUUACUGGGCGUAAAGGGCGCGUAGGCGGCGUGACAAGUCACUUGUGAAAUCUCCGGGCUUAACUCGGAACGGUCAAGUGAUACUGUCGGACUAGAGUACAGAAGGGGCAACUGGAAUUCUCGGUGUAGCGGUGAAAUGCGUAGAUAUCGAGAGGAACACCAGAGGUGAAGACGGGUUGCUGGGCCGACACUGACGCUGAGGCGCGAAAGCCAGGGGAGCAAACGGGG